rnacentral:rRNA from 1 species
AUUGAACGCUGGCGGCAUGCCUUACACAUGCAAGUCGAACGGCAGCACGGGAGCAAUCCUGGUGGCGAGUGGCGAACGGGUGAGUAAUAUAUCGGAACGUGCCCAGUCGUGGGGGAUAACGUAGCGAAAGCUACGCUAAUACCGCAUACGAUCUAUGGAUGAAAGCGGGGGAUCGCGAGACCUCGCGCGAUUGGAGCGGCCGAUAUCAGAUUAGGUAGUUGGUGAGGUAAAGGCUCACCAAGCCGACGAUCUGUAGCUGGUCUGAGAGGACGACCCAGCCACACUGGGACUGAGACACGGCCCAGACUCCUACGGGAGGCAGCAGUGGGGAAUUUUGGACAAUGGGCGCAAGCCUGAUCCAGCAAUGCCGCGUGCAGGAUGAAGGCCUUCGGGUUGUAAACUGCUUUGUACGGAACGAAACGGUGAGCUCUAAUACAGUUUGCUAAUGACGGUACCGUAAGAAUAAGCACCGGCUAACUACGUG